rnacentral:rRNA from 1 species
AGUGAACGCUGGCGGUAGGCCUAACACAUGCAAGUCGAACGGCAGCACAGUAAGAGCUUGCUCUUACGGGUGGCGAGUGGCGGACGGGUGAGGAAUACAUCGGAAUCUACUUUUUCGUGGGGGAUAACGUAGGGAAACUUACGCUAAUACCGCAUACGACCUACGGGUGAAAGCAGGGGAUCUUCGGACCUUGCGCGAUUGAAUGAGCCGAUGUCGGAUUAGCUAGUUGGCGGGGUAAAGGCCCACCAAGGCGACGAUCCGUAGCUGGUCUGAGAGGAUGAUCAGCCACACUGGAACUGAGACACGGUCCAGACUCCUACGGGAGGCAGCAGUGGGGAAUAUUGGACAAAGGGCGCAAGCCUGAUCCAGCCAUACCGCGUGGGUGAAGAAGGCCUUCAGGUUGUAAAGCCCUUUUGUUGGGAAAGAAAAGCAGCAGGUUAAUACCCCGCUGUUCUGACGGUACCCAAAGAAUAAGCACCGGCUAACUUCGUG